GUGGGGAAUUUUGCGCAAUGGGGGAAACCCUGACGCAGCAACGCCGCGUGGAGGAUGAAGUCCCUUGGGACGUAAACUCCUUUCGAUCGGGACGAUAAUGACGGUACCGGAAGAAGAAGCCCCGGCUAACUUCGU
rnacentral:rRNA from 1 species